AAACUGUUGACUGUCCUAGGUCUCUAAUUCCACAGUAACUCAUAAAAGGAAAUGUACAAGGAGAGAUGCUACCUUUUACAAGAAUAGGGACUAUUGGAACAGAGAGGAGGUGGAUAAGCAAGUACGUGGUUCAUAAACUACACUAACCUAAGGGGGUCUACAGGCCUACAUGGUUAUAGAGGAAUUCUUGAAAGGGCAUAGCUAUACAUAUCCAUGAACUUCUGUCUAGUGUCUCUCUCUUUGUACUUACUGGGACAUUAAAAGGACAUAUUUUGGGUUCCCUUUUAUAAAUCCAAGCUUUCAUAUUUAUUCCCAUUUAUACAGUCUUCCUAUCCAAUAAAACACUAUGGCACUUUUAUGAUUCUACCAACUAUAGUAAUAGAGUUUCAAGAAAUUUUUAUUAUCUUAUCAUUCAAGGGAUUGAAUUACCAUCAUGGGCUAAAAUAAUAAGCUCUUACAUACUCCUUUCUUUGCCACAAUUCAAAUUCCAUUUGGCUUUUUGUUAGAUAUAUGCAAGCCACAUUAGGCACUGUCGCCAUAAUUAUGCACUGAAACAGAGUGCUCUCUGUUUUAUCAUAAAGAUGAUUUAAAGAGACAAAUCUGGGUUUUUAAAUAUUUCAAAUUAGAAUAAUUAUCUGGAAAUUUUAAACAAAUCAUGUCAUCAUGCCCCUUCAUACCAUAUGGGGAUAAAUAUUCUUGAUAAAUAAAACAGCCAAUAGGAAAUAUGAAGUAAAUAUGGGGAUAAAAACUCUUAAGAUUAUAUGUAAAACUUUUGCAGUUCUAAAAACAGUGGAAUAUAUUGCCAAAGAACAAGUGAAAGAUUGGACCUCAAUAAAAUCUGGAAAAAAAAUCCAACAUUUUAAAAGUCAGAAAAUAAACUAGGUAAAAUUUGCUUGAAAAACGUUGUCAGAUAAAAUUUUAUUAUGAAUAAUACAGAGUGCAUACUAAUUAACAAGAUAAGUAAUUUGGCAAUAUGUAUCAAGAGACAUAAAAAACAAUCAAUACUACCUCAUUUGCAGCCCAUAAUUGUACUUUCAGGAAUCAGAAGGAAGAAGGCAAAAUGCACAAAAUGGAUGGAACUCAUGACAUACCAGAGACUCGAGCCACAGCACUGACAAUUCCAGAUACUUGACCCUAACUCACAAAACACCCAUUUUAAGCAAGUUGAAUCCUGUGACCUUACAGAGUUCCAAGAGUCUAAAAUUAUCCUGGUAGUUAACAGGCUAUGAAGCCAAGAGGGAAGAGGGAGGGUCUGAGCCCACAGGACAAUGAUGCAGGGUAAGUUGAAAUCAAGAACCAAGAAGACAGUCUAACAGAAGCACUCAACAAAAGGUAUGAUCUGCAUCAACUGGCAGGCACCCAGUUCUACACUUAAGAGGCAAAGAGAGUUUGUUUGAUCUGCCUGACACUGUUACCAGUCAUAGAUUACUUCCCUGUUUUCAGAAAGAUAAUAAGGAGGUAGAAAGAAAGGAGAUGGAAAACAGGAGGCACUGGGUUGAUGCCAGCUGUUUCAAGAGCUUUCUAAAAGGGCCCUGUGCAGAGCUCCCAGUGGGGCUCAGCGAUUUAAGAACCCACCAUAGUGUCCAUGUGGAUGAGGGUUCGAUCCCUGGCCUCAUGCAGUGGGUUGAGUGUUCAGUGUUCUGCAAGGGGCAUGUAGGUCACAGAUGCUGCUCAGAUCUGGUAUUGCUGUGGCUGUGGCACAGGCCAGCAGCUGCAGCUCCAAUUCAACUCCUAGCCUGGGAACUUCCAUUUACAGCAGGGGCAGCCCUAAAAAAAGAAAAAGGAAAUAAAAAUAAAAGGGCCCUGUAGCUUUUCAAGGGAUUGGGAGUGGGGAGAUACCAGGAGACACUGAGCUGCUUAGAAGGAAAGAAAAGCUUAUAGGUAUUAACCUGGUUGAUGGCACUUUAGGGAUUUGUAUUUUCUUCUCUAUACCUUUCAUCCCUUCCAAGGUUAAAACAAAUACAGCAAUGUCCAUUUUUUAUAAUCAGAAAAACUCAUAAAACUUUAAAACAUUCUUCCACAUUUAGCUUGAAAUUUUGAUUCUGCCUUGGUAUUCCUUAGGAGAAAAGAAUUAUCUAAAAUAAUGCUUUGUAAGAGAUUAAGCAUUAAUAUUGUGAAAGGGCAAUAACUACAGAAGAAUGUAUUCUCUUUUUAUCAAUAGUCUGUGCUACUAAAGUCCUAUGAGAAUGCUAGACACCAGGCAAUAAACACAAUUUCUUUUCUAUCUCAGUCCCAUUCAUACAAGCACGUUUUGUUACAUUUUCCAAGGACAACAUUUGGGAAAGAAAUAAUAAAGAGAUAAUAGAGCAAAUGCAUAUUUUUAAAUAAGAUUAUGAGAAAUGCUUUUGCAGUAAACAAAAGCAAAAGAAAAUCCCCAAGACACUGAAGCAAUUUGUUGGAGAAAAUGAAUGAAUGAUCCAUAAUAUAUUCUGUAGCCUUUAGGAGCUGAUUUAAAAUACUUUCUAUAUAUCUAUUGACUAAUUGUAAAUAUUGAGAAUUCUGUCAAUUUAACAGGGUAAAAGCAAGCUGAAAUAAGCUACGUCUUUCAUUGGGAGAAAAUUGAUGAAGAAACAAUUUAACAAAACAAUGGAGGAGAUUUUUAUAUAUGAUAGUACAAAACAGUAGAAAAGUCUUAUUUAAAACAUAGUGGCUAUAAAUUAUUUUAUAAGCAUCUUUAGAGAGGACCCAGGUGCAACACUCACUUCUUUCUCACUGUUAAAUGGACUGUCAUAAUUUACAUCUUAUAGACUCAAUUUCCAAAUCUGCGGUCACAUCACAAAAUUUGGAUAAGAAUCAAAUAAGAAAAUGGAGUUCCCGUCGUGGCUCAGUGGUUAACGAAUCUGAUUAGGAACCAUGAGGUUGUGGGUUUGAUCCCUGGCCUCACUCAGUGGGUUAAGGAUCCGGUGUUGCCUUGAGCUGUGGUGUAGGUUGCAGAUGCAGCUCAGAUCCCACGUUGCUGUGGCUCUGGCGUAGGCCUGCAGCUAUAGCUCUGUUUAGACCCCCAGCCUGGGAACCUCCAUAUGCUAUGGGUGUGGCC
rnacentral:lncRNA from 1 species